rnacentral:lncRNA from 1 species
UCAUUUCAUUGUGCAUCCCAACAGAAUGGUCAGACCCAGCCCAUUAAGUGAUUGUCCUGUGGCCCAUAAUCACGAAGGUUCCAAAGGUCCACCACCAUCCACAUCAGAGUAGGCCAGAGGGCAUAAACUAAAACAGUAUAUUCGAUUCAACAUCCGGCUUAUGUUAGCUACUAAAACAGUAACACACAUUUUCACACUAGCCCAAAUUUAUUAGUAAAGAAAUUGGCGCAUCCAACCCAAGAACAUGAUCAUUAACAGACCACAUUCAAUGAUUCAACCUUUUAAAGAUGUCACGUUCAUCUUAGCACAUGGGUUCUACACAUCUAAACAUAUAGUAGCAUAUAUAAACAAUCAUCGAUGACUUCAUGUCAUCCCUCAGAUUAGUGAACCUUGUGACGACGUUAUAACCAAAGCAAUAGACUCCUCACAGGCUUCUCUCAACCACGUGGUAGAAAGAGAGACUACUUUUGUUGUAUUAAAUUAAAAGACAAAGACCCCACUC